ACUCAAAUGAAUUGACGGGGACCCGCACAAGCGGUGGAUUAUGUGGAUUAAUUCGAUGCAACGCGAAAAACCUUACCUACCCUUGACAUGCCAGGAAGCUCCCAGAGAUGGGAGUGUGCCCGAAAGGGAACCUGGACACAGGUGCUGCAUGGCUGUCGUCAGCUCGUGUCGUGAGAUGUUGGGUUAAGUCCCGCAACGAGCGCAACCCUUGCCAUUAGUUGCCACAUUCAGUUGGGCACUCUAAUGGGACUGCCGGUGACAAACCGGAGGAAGGUGGGGAUGACGUCAAGUCCUCAUGGCCCUUAUGGGUAGGGCUUCACACGUAAUACAAUGGCCGGUACAGAGGGCAGCCAACCCGCGAGGGGGAGCUAAUCCCAGAAAGCCGGUCGUAGUCCGGAUUGCAGUCUGCAACUCGACUGCAUGAAGCCGGAAUCGCUAGUAAUCGCGGAUCAGCACGUCGCGGUGAAUACGUUCCCGGGUCUUGCACACACCGCCCGU
rnacentral:rRNA from 1 species